rnacentral:rRNA from 1 species
GACGAACGCUGGCGGCGUGCUUAACACAUGCAAGUCGAGCGGAGCGGCGAACGGGUGAGUAACGCGUGAGUAACUGCCCCCCUCCCUGGGAUAACAGUUGGAAACGGCUGCAAAUACCGGAUAGUGGGGGCUGACUCGCGUCCUAUCAGCUUGUCGGUGGGGUAGUGGCCUACCAAGGCGACGACUGGUAGCCGGCCUGAGAGGGCGACCGGCCACAUGGGGCUGAGGUACGGCCCAAACUCCUACGGGAGGCAACAGGGGGGAAUAUUGCGCAAUGGGGGAAACACUGUUGCAGCAACGCGCGUGCGUGAUGACGGCCUUCGGGUUGUAAACCGCUUUCAGCCAUGACGCGGUAGUGGCAGAAGAAGCACCGGCUAACUACGUGCCAGCAGCCGCGGUAAUUC